rnacentral:rRNA from 1 species
UACGUAGGGUGCGAGCGUUGUCCGGAAUUAUUGGGCGUAAAGGGCUCGUAGGCGGUUUGUCGCGUCGGGAGUGAAAACACCGGGCUUAACUCGGAAAGGUCAACUGAUACUGCGCGGCUAGAGUGCAGAAGGGGCAACUGGAAUUCUCGGUGUAGCGGUGAAAUGCGUAGAUAUCGAGAGGAACACCUGCGGCGAAGGCGGGUUGCUGGGCUGACACUGACGCUGAUGCGCGAAAGCCAGGGGAGCGAACGGG